rnacentral:rRNA from 1 species
GACGAACGCUGGCGGCGUGCUUAACACAUGCAAGUCGAACGAUGAAGCCGGAGCUUGCUCUGGUGAAUUAGUGGCGGACGGGUGAGUAACACGUGAGUAACCUGCCCUUGACUCUGGGAUAACUGCUAGAAAUGGUAGCUAAUACCGGAUACGACCCUCGGAGGCAUCUCCAGGGGGUGGAAAGAAUUUCGGUCAAGGAUGGACUCGCGGCCGAUCAGCUAGUUGGUGAGGUAACGGCUCACCAAGGCGACGACGGGUAGCCGGCCUGAGAGGGUGAUCGGCCACACUGGGACUGAGACACGGCCCAGACUCCUACGGGAGGCAGCAGUGGGGAAUAUUGCACAAUGGGCGCAAGCCUGAUGCAGCAACGCCGCGUGAGGGACGACGGCCUUCGGGUUGUAAACCUCUUUUAGUAGGGAAGAAGCGAAAGUGACGGUACCUGCAGAAAAAGCACCGGCUAACUACGUGCCAGCAGCCGCGGUAA